GCUCUCCAGUCCUGGCUGUGGGAGGGCUUGGUGUAUCUUGCAGAGCUGCUGUGGAAUGCAGACUUAAACAGGCAUCCCUUAGAAGGGCAACAUUGAUUGCAAGAUAAACCCUGGACACCAGAGAAGCCCAGAGGUGAAAAGCACCAUUAGGUCUUUUCCAAUCCAGGCAACUCUGUGAUUCAAGGGAUGGAAGAGCACUGUGCUUGGGCUGUCACCUUCCACACAGAGCCAGUGCCUGCAGCUCCUCAGCCCUCCUGGUCAUGAAAUCCUCUCUGCUGAACAGAACACACAGUGAACAUCAACACUGAAGCCUCAACAAGCCCAGUGAACACGGGAAAGACCAGCACUGAAGCCACUGAGGUGCCAGCUCCAGAGCCAGGCCUCUGGGGUCCCACAGGCAGCAACUCUCCUCCACCCUGCUGCAGAGGCUCACUGAGGACUGCUGAGACACAACUGGCACUGCUGUGGUGCAGGGGUGAGCUUCGUCCCAAACCCACCCAGGGCUGUACCUGGGAGUAAACCCCUUUGCACGGAGAGGUGCUGGCAGUGUCCUCUUGAAGUGAUUAGCUCCUGGGCUUUGACAGCGUUGAGUCGAUACACCCUGAGGACCUGCACGAGUAACUUGCGUUUGCCCUAAAGGGAAGCCAUUCUCGUUUCACUGUCUAUUAAUGAUUACAGUGUUCCUGAGUUCUCCUCUGCCGCCCCCUCCCCGCUGCCAGGGCCUCUGAACCUGCCCAGGGCUCACACGGGAAGGGUCUUCGGAGGGGGUGAUGGUCUAUGGCAAGAGUCAUGUGGUUUAAUUUUGACCUUCCUGAGCAAAAAAAAAGAUGAUGAGUUCUGUGUAGGAGAGACACUAAAACCUCUGCUGCUCCAUUAGGAGCAUUACCCUGAAAUACUCACUGGAGCUUCUACCAGCCCAGAUAAUAGGGGUGGGAAAUAAUUUCUGGAAGAUAUUUUCCUCAAAGCAUCUUACCGAGGGAUUGUUUCCUAACAGCAGCGAUGAAAUAUUUGUCAAAUAAUCCUUCAAUACCACAAAUAUUUUGUCUUUAA